UAGUGAGCAAUAAUGAAGGAAAUUGUUGUGACCUGUGAGUUAGGUUCAUGGAUUAUGUGUAAACUUAUUGGUUUAGUACUAGCUUCUUCUUCUUCUUCUUCUUCUUCUUCUUCUUUUCUGUCAAUUCACCUUCUAAGUUCUUAGUUACUAAUGCAGUGCCAAUUCACAGUUUGAGAUGUAUCAAAUCAACAAAUUAAACUGCGUAAA